GUAGUCCCAGCCGUAAACGAUGUAGAUUAGGUGUCGGAGGAGUCGAUCCCUUCGGUGCCGCCGUUAACACAUUAAAUCUACCACCUGGGGAGUACGGUCGCAAGACUGAAACUCAAAGGAAUUGACGGGGACCCGCACAAGCGGUGGAGCAUGUGGUUUAAUUCGAGGCUACACGAGGAACCUUACCUGGGCUUGACAUGUUAGAAGUAGUCACCUAGAAAUAGGAGGCGACCGUAUCCAAUCGGAGUCUUUCACAGGUGCUGCAUGGCUGUCGUCAGCUCGUGCUGUGAAGUGUUGGGUUAAGUCCCGCAACGAGCGCAACCAUUAUUCAUAGUUACCAGCGGGUUAUGCCGGGGACUCUAUGAAGACUGCCGGUGGUAAACCGGA
rnacentral:rRNA from 1 species